rnacentral:rRNA from 1 species
UUCUACGGCCACGGCACCCUGAACAAGCCCAAUUCUGUCUGCUCUCGGAGGCUAAGCAGGGUCGGGCCUGGUUAGUGCUUGGAUGGGAGACCACCUAGGAAGAUUAGGUGCUGUAGGUG